UGGACCUACGGGGGGCAGCAGUGGGGGAUAUUGCACAAUGGGGGGAACCCUGAUGCAGCGACGCCGCGUGGGUGAAGGAGUAUUUCGGUAUGUAAAGCCCUAUCGGCAGGGAAGAAGCAAGACGGUACCUGACUAAGAAGCCCCGGCUAACUACGUGCCAGCAGCCGCGGUAAUACGUAGGGGGCGAGCGUUAUCCGGAUUCACUGGGUGUAAAGGGAGCGUAGACGGCCCAGCAAGCCAGGGGUGAAAGCCCGGGGCCCAACCCCGGGACCGCCCUUGGAACUGCUU
rnacentral:rRNA from 1 species